rnacentral:rRNA from 1 species
UACAGAGGGGGCAAGCGUUGUUCGGAAUUACUGGGCGUAAAGGGCGCGUAGGCGGCCUUCUAAGUCGAACGUGAAAUCCCUGGGCUCAACCCAGGAACUGCGUCCGAUACUGGGAGGCUUGAAUUCGGGAGAGGGAUGCGGAAUUCCAGGUGUAGCGGUGAAAUGCGUAGAUAUCUGGAGGAACACCGGUGGCGAAGGCGGCAUCCUGGACCGGUAUUGACGCUGAGGCGCGAAAGCCAGGGGAGCAAACGGG